rnacentral:rRNA from 1 species
CUAGCAGUAUCAGAGUUUGAUCCUGGCUCAGAGCGAACGCUGGCGGCAGGCUUAACACAUGCAAGUCGAGCGGGCGUAGCAAUACGUCAGCGGCAGACGGGUGAGUAACACGUGGGAACGUACCUUUUGGUUCGGAACAACACAGGGAAACUUGUGCUAAUACCGGAUAAGCCCUUACGGGGAAAGAUUUAUCGCCGAAAGAUCGGCCCGCGUCUGAUUAGCUAGUUGGUGAGGUAAUGGCUCACCAAGGCGACGAUCAGUAGCUGGUCUGAGAGGAUGAUCAGCCACACUGGGACUGAGACACGGCCCAG